GAUUAGACCCAGCUCCCUGACCCCAAACCCUGCAGCCCCAGCUGGAGGGUGAGGAGAUGCUGGGCUUGGGUGGGGGAAUCAGGGGGUGUAAAGGGGCCUGCU
rnacentral:miRNA from 1 species